rnacentral:rRNA from 1 species
AGAUUGAACGCUGGCGGCGUGCUUAACACAUGCAAGUCGCGCGUGAAAGUCCUUCGGGAUGAGUAAAGCGGCGCACGGGUGAGUAACGCGUGGAUGAUCUACCCAUGAGUUGGGAAUAACGGGUUGGAAACGAUCGCUAAUACCCGGUACGUUCCGAUUUCAACUUCGGGAGAAGGGGGCCUCUGCUUGCAAGCUUCUGCUCAUGGAUGAGUCCGCGUCCCAUUAGCUAGUUGGUGAGGUAACGGCUCACCAAGGCAUCGAUGGGUAGCCGGUCUGAGAGGAUGACCGGCCACACUGGGACUGGAACACGGCCCAGACUCCUACGGGAGGCAGCAGUGGGGAAUAUUGCGCAAUGGGCGAAAGCCUGACGCAGCGACGCCGCGUGAGGGAUGAAGGUCUUCGGAUCGUAAACCUCUGUCAAGAGGGAAGAAACGUCAGGGUGCUAAUCAGCCCUGAUCUGACGGUACCUCUAAAGGAAGCACCGGCUAACUCCGUGCCAGCCGCCGC